CCCCAGCCAUCCCAAUAGAAAAAUCUCAUCUGAUCUCGGAAACUAAGCAAAGCCGGGCCUGGUUAGUACUUGGAUGGGAGCCCCUGGGAAUACCAGGGCCAUAGUGC
rnacentral:rRNA from 1 species